AGGAAAUAUAAUAAUACGUCGACAAAGCCAACAGAGAGCAAGACGGCAUUUGAAAGAAAAACAUCAUAUGAUCGCUGUGUGCGGGAACAUCGUCCAAAUCAGUGUCCCGGAUAUGGCAAAAUUUGCAAUGGCUGCAGAAAAGAAGAUGUGGUGAUAUCACUUGCAAUGAUGUGCCAGUACAUGAUUGGACAGAGCGCUGAGAAUGUGUGGGAUGGCCAGAAUGUUCCAGCAUGUGGCUGGGUUAAGACGAGUUUGUUUAUUAUUAAUAUGAUUCUUCAUUGAUAACCCACGGAUUGUUUAAAUAUAAGUAACAUAACAUGGUGUCAGAAGUGCUUUUGGAAGAAUAAUAUGGGAGAAUUGAGAAUCGAAGAUAAUUGGAAAAAAAAGAAAAAGGUUGGAGCGGUAAUCGGCGAAAUGGAAGGCUUACAAACCCCACAAAAACUGCAGCUGACCAGCAACGUAGCUGAGAAUUGGAGGAUACUUAAGCAACAGUUUGAACUGUACUUAUCGGUGAUCGAUUAUAAAGAAAAAUGGGACAAAACCAAAGCGGCAAUCCUGCUCCAUGAAUCGGGAAUGACGCAGUAGAGGUAUACAAUAAUUUUGUCUUUGAAGAUGGAGAUAAUUUCAAUUUAAAGUCAAUAAUGGACAGCUUUGAGGUAUUUUGUAUACUAGUGGUCACCAACCUUUUUAAGCCCAAGAUCCACUACAUCCGUCUUAAUGAAAGGCGAGAUCGACUCCAAAUUGAUUAGUCACAUGCAUGCGCACUGGGGCAGAAAAGACCGGAAGUAAAACCUCGCAACCUGGAAGUAGAAAUAAUGCAUAAGCACCGGGGUACCCACCAUUUUUUUGCACCGGGAACCGGUUUAAUGUUGACAAUAUUCUUGAGGACCGGCCAACGGGGGUUGGGGGGGGGGGGUGUUAAAUACGACCUCCGCGGCUUUUGGCACUUAGCUGCUGUCCCGCCCUCCUCACAUUUUUUCAGCUGAAAAAACUCAAUGGGUUCAUCUUUAAGUGCAGGGUGCUUGGACUCAGGGUACCGAAUCAGCUUUGAGGACUUCAUUGCCACAUUAGACAGCAUCCCGCCCACCACCAGACGCCCUGGCCAGGUGCGGCUGGUCAUGGGUGGGGUAAGAGGACGAGGUAAGAGCCGGAGGUUCCCGUGCCGGGGCCACGGCGGUCGCAGUCCGGACCGAGUGAAGAGAGCGACAGGCCCGCGCCUGCCCCCUUUGUAGAAUCUAUCAACCGACAGAAGUUUGUUUCAGCAGAUUGCAGCGAGGUAGCUGUUAUGAUAAUUACAAAACCUUGAGCUCAAAUUAGGUCGUCUGUGAAUAUUUUAGCUCCGGAUUCCCCAUGAACAUUCGGUGUUCUAAACAGGUUCAGAGGUGGCACCCAGCUGGCCGCGCUCUGGGCCAGUAGCAUCGGCUGUUCCCGCCGGCCGUGCUCCGGUCCUGCAGCAUCGGCUGUUCCCGCCGGCCAUGCUCCGGUCCUGUAGCAUCAGGUCUUCCUGCCGGCCGCGCUCCAGGCCAGUAGCAUCGGCACUUCCUGCCAGCCGCGCGUUUAGGUGACUGAUGACCUUGCAUGGGUUCAAGAUCAACAGUGGCUGUGACAGGGAAUGAGCAAAGGUGCAACUGACUCAUAUUGUUUCCUCACGGCCCAGUGGUUGGUGAUCACUUAAGUACACUGUGUUGUGCAGGGGACCUAUGCACAUGCGCACUGGGCAGAAAGAACGGAACGAAAACCCCACAAACCCCACAAUCUCUCAACAGUAUUUGUGUAUUUAUUUUUCAUCUUUUUUUGGGAUCUACUAGGAAAGUCUCAAAGAUCGACCAGUCGAUCAAGAUCGACGGGUUGGCGAACACUUUUGUAUACCUAAGCGUAAUUUAACGUAUGAACGAUACAAAUUCUUCAUGUGUGUGCAGAAGGCUGCUGAAACAAUUGAUCAGUAUGUUACUGAGUUAAGAAAGCGUAGUAGAAUGUGUGAGUUUGGAUUGCUCACAGAUUCUCUCAUUAAAGAUAGACUGGUUUGUGGCAUUCAAGAUAAUGCUCUGAGAGGCUUUUGCGUGAGCAGGAUUUAAAUUUUGAACGAGCUUUUGUGCUCUGCAAAGCUUCUGAAACCAUAAUGUUGCAGGCUGAAGAGCUUUUUGUUGAAAACUGCAAUGUAGGCACUGUAAAAAAGCACAAAUAUGUCAAGAAAUAUAAUAAUAUGUUGACAAAACCAACAGUGAGCAAGAUUUCAUUUGAAAAAUAAAGUCAUGUGAUUGCUGUGUGUAGAAACACAGUCUAAAUCAGUGUUUCACAUAAGGCAAAAUUUGCUACAACUGUAGUAAGAUUAAUCAUUUGCCAUGCUGUUGUAGAAGUAGAAAGAAGGAAAAUGAAAUGAAAGAAAUAAAUGCCGUGAUUAAAGAUUAACGUGAGGAAUUUUAUAUAGAUGCGCUUUAUGAAAAUGCUGACAUGGAGAAUAUAAAAGCAGUAGCUGCAGAGUGUAAGAUGACCAAACAGGAGGCAAUUGAUGAUGUGAAAAAGCAAUGGCAAGAGGAGGUUGCUUCAAUGCUAGUGAUAAUGAAGGAGACACUGAGACAAUAUGAGAUUUAGUACAAUCACCGGCUAGAGCAAGAACACUCACAGUGGGCACAGAAUAAGCAAGAAAUGAAAGCACAUGUAACGGAAUUGAGAAAUGAUGAAGACUCAGCAUAAAAAAGAAUUACACAGUUAAUGAAUGAAAUAGAUGAAGAAAAGAAGAUUUGUAUUUCAUUAAAAAAUGGAAGUGGAAGGAAUUAGGAAUGAUACAGUCCAAACAGAAGCAGGGAAACAGGUUGCUGAGGAAAAUAGCGUGAACUGCUUACCUGAAAUUCCAGAUUCUAACCAGGAGAUGUGUGAGAGUAUACCAAAAAGUUUAGCUGAGAUACAUGAAGAAAAGCUUAAAGCAGAAAAGAAGAAGAAAAAGAAGAAGCACAAGAAGGGUCAUGGCUUAGAUAGUGAAGAGCCAACUUUAGAGUUCAGUUAGCUGAUAUAGAUUUGUUUAUUGGUUAAUGGUGUAAUGCUUUUUUUAAGGAAAGGAAGAUGUGAUUCUUCAGAGAUUCAGUUAAUGGAUGCAGAUGAGACAAAACAUGUAAAUAUUAAUAAAUAGACCCCCAGAGAGACUGAUAGAGACUUGUUAAAUUAUGUACUUGUUUUGAUUAAUGUUGUUAAUUUUAAGAAAGGGAAGAUGUGGUGAUAUCACGUGCAAUGACAUGCCAGUUCCUGAUUGGAGAGCACUGAGCAUGCGCGGGGUUUUGCCAGACUGUAUCAGCAUGUGGCGGGGUUAAGAUGUGUUUGUUUGUUUCUGUGAAUAAAAAUUAUUUAAUUCUUCCAGAAUGUGAUUCUUUAUUGUUU